CCAGACUCCUACGGGAGGCAGCAGUAGGGAAUCUUCGGCAAUGGACGGAAGUCUGACCGAGCAACGCCGCGUGAGUGAAGAAGGUUUUCGGAUCGUAAAGCUCUGUUGUAAGAGAAGAACGAGUGUGAGAGUGGAAAGUUCACACUGUGACGGUAUCUUACCAGAAAGGGACGGCUAACUACGUGCCAGCAGCCGCGGUAAUACGUAGGUCCCGAGCGUUGUCCGGAUUUAUUGGGCGUAAAGCGAGCGCAGGCGGUUAGAUAAGUCUGAAGUUAAAGGCUGUGGCUUAACCAUAGUACGCUUUGGAAACUGUUUAACUUGAGUGCAAGAGGGGAGAGUGGAAUUCCAUGUGUAGCGGUGAAAUGCGUAGAUAUAUGGAGGAACACCGGUGGCGAAAGCGGCUCUCUGGCUUGUAACUGACGCUGAGGCUCGAAAGCGUGGGGAGCAAACAGGAUUAGAUACCCUGGUAGUCCACGCCGUAAACGAUGAGUGCUAGGUGUUAGACCCUUUCCGGGGUUUAGUGCCGUAGCUAACGCAUUAAGCACUCCGCCUGGGGAGUACGACCGCAAGGUUGAAACUCAAAGGAAUUGACGGGGGCCCCGCACAAG
rnacentral:rRNA from 1 species